UUGCACGCUGGCGGCAUGCCUUACACAUGCAAGUCGAACGGCAGCACGGGUGCUUGCACCUGGUGGCGAGUGGCGAACGGGUGAGUAAUACAUCGGAACAUGUCCUGUAGUGGGGGAUAGCCCGGCGAAAGCCGGAUUAAUACCGCAUACGAUCCACGGAUGAAAGCGGGGGACCUUCGGGCCUCGCGCUAUAGGGUUGGCCGAUGGCUGAUUAGCUAGUUGGUGGGGUAAAGGCCUACCAAGGCGACGAUCAGUAGCUGGUCUGAGAGGACGACCAGCCACACUGGGACUGAGACACGGCCCAGACUCCUACGGGAGGCAGCAGUGGGGAAUUUUGGACAAUGGGCGAAAGCCUGAUCCAGCAAUGCCGCGUGUGUGAAGAAGGCCUUCGGGUUGUAAAGCACUUUUGUCCGGAAAGAAAUCCUUGACUCUAAUACAGUCGGGGGAUGACGGUACCGGAACAAUAAGCACCGGCUAACUACGUG
rnacentral:rRNA from 1 species